rnacentral:rRNA from 1 species
CCGGGGAUUUGCCUUAGUACGGCGAGUGAAGCGGCAAAAGCUCAAAUUUGAAAUCUGGUACCUUCGGUGCCCGAGUUGUAAUUUGGAGAGGGCAACUUUGGGGCCGUUCCUUGUCUAUGUUCCUUGGAACAGGACGUCAUAGAGGGUGAGAAUCCCGUGUGGCGAGGAGUGCGGUUCUUUGUAAAGUGCCUUCGAAGAGUCGAGUUGUUUGGGAAUGCAGCUCUAAGUGGGUGGUAAAUUCCAUCUAAAGCUAAAUAUUGGCGAGAGACCGAUAGCGAACAAGUACAGUGAUGGAAAGAUGAAAAGAACUUUGAAAAGAGAGUGAAAAAGUACGUGAAAUUGUUGAAAGGGAAGGGCAUUUGAUCAGACAUGGUGUUUUGUGCCCUCUGCUCCUUGUGGGUAGGGGAAUCUCGCAUUUCACUGGGCCAGCAUCAGUUUUGGUGGCAGGAUAAAUCCAUAGGAAUGUAGCUUGCCUCGGUAAGUAUUAUAGCCUGUGGGAAUACUGCCAGCUGGGACUGAGGACUGCGACGUAAGUCAAGGAUGCUGGCAUAAUGGUUAUAUGCCGCCCGUCUUGAACCCAGGAACCACA